GAUGUCCCUAUAAGAAGAUGAGACACCAGCAACCUGUCUCUGUCCGUGGAUGCACAGAGGGUGGACCAUGUGAGGACACAAUGAGGUGGCCAUCUGCAAGCCAGGACGAGAAGCCUCAGAAGAAACCAUCCCUGCUGACCCCUUGCUGUUGGACUUCAAGCCUCCAGAACUUUGAAAAAGCAAACAGUUUCUCCGAGGAUCAUGGGGCCUUUUGAUGGUUGUCAGUGUUAUCAUAAGGAGUGAGGUAAAACAUCUUCCUUACUGUGGAUCCUACUCAGACAUGUCAUUUGAAAGGAAGGAAAGAAAAAACGGAAGGCUACAUGGAGAAAGAGGGAGGAGACAGAAGCAGAGAGCGUGCCUCGAAGUCCUCCACGUUCCUUCCGCUGUGCUUCGACACACGCCUUGGGACUCUGUCCACCACCAGAAAUGUUGAUAAGGACUCUGGCUUCUGUGUGCUUUCUGGAUUGGCAACACUUAAUAUGGUUAGGUUUUGGGGGCUCUGAACACCUCAAACUGGGGAACUUGUCAUUAGACAUUCCUUUUAAAAAACAUAAAUGCCUCAAAGCUUUAUAACAUUGGAUUUGGCAAUAAUUUCUUGCAUAUGACACCAGAGGCACAGGCAACCAAGGAAAAAGUGGACAAACUGAACUUCAUAAAAAUUAAAAAAUUUUGUGCUUCAAAAUACUAUCAACAGAGUAGAAAAGCAACCCACAGAAUGAGAGAAAAUGUUUGCAAAUCAUGUGUCUGAUAAGGGAUUAAUAUCCACAAUGUAUAGAGAAUACCUAAACUCAACAACAACAAAAAAACCCCAAUUAAAAAGUAGGCAAAAGGGGCUGGCCCCGUGGCUGAGUUGUUAAGUUCGCACGCUCCGCUGCAGGCGGCCCAGUGUUUCAUUGGUUCAAAUCCUGGGCGCCGACAUGGCACUGCUCAUCAAACCAUGCUGAGGCAGCGUCCCACAUGCCACAACUAGAAGGACCCACAAUGAAGAAUAUACAACUAUGUACCGGGGGGCUUUGGGGAGAAAAAGGAAAAAAAUAAA
rnacentral:lncRNA from 1 species